UAGUGGCGAACGGGUGAGUAACACGUGGGCAAUCUGCCCUUCACUCUGGGACAAGCCCUGGAAACGGGGUCUAAUACCGGAUAACACUCUGUCCCGCAUGGGACGGGGUUAAAAGCUCCGGCGGUGAAGGAUGAGCCCGCGGCCUAUCAGCUUGUUGGUGGGGUGAUGGCCUACCAAGGCGACGACGGGUAGCCGGCCUGAGAGGGCGACCGGCCACACUGGGACUGAGACACGGCCCAGACUCCUACGGGAGGCAGCAGUGGGGAAUAUUGCACAAUGGGCGAAAGCCUGAUGCAGCGACGCCGCGUGAGGGAUGACGGCCUUCGGGUUGUAAACCUCUUUCAGCAGGGAAGAAGCGAGAGUGACGGUACCUGCAGAAGAAGCGCCGGCUAACUACGUGCCAGCAGCCGCGGUAAUACGUAGGGCGCAAGCGUUGUCCGGAAUUAUUGGGCGUAAAGAGCUCGUAGGCGGCUUGUUGCGUCGGUUGUGAAAGCCCGGGGCUUAACCCCGGGUCUGCAGUCGAUACGGGCAGGCUAGAGUGUGGUAGGGGAGAUCGGAUU
rnacentral:rRNA from 1 species